AUGGAGAUAAGAAGGGCAAUAGAAGAAGCAAGCAUUCCACACACCUAUGUUUCCGCUAACUGCUUUGCUGCUUUCUUUGUUCCUAACCUCUCUCAAAUGCGCACCCUUCUCCCGCCCAAAGAGAAAGUUCACGUGUACGGAGAUGGCAACGUCAAAGUGAUAUUCAUGGACGAAGAUGACGUCGCAACAUACACCAUCAAGUCCAUUGAUGAUCCUAGGGCCUUGAACAAGACAAUAUACCUAAGGCCGCCGGAAAACAUCCUUAGUCAAAAUGAGCUGAUUGCCAAAUGGGAAAAGCUCUCAGGAGAAGUCCUUGAGAGAAUUCCCAUUCCGUCUGAUGAAUUCUUGGCGUCAAUGGAAGGUACGGACAUUACAAAUCAGAUGGCGGUGGGGCACUUCCACCACAUUUUCUAUGAGGGUUGCUCAACAAACUUUGAUAUAGGGGAGGAUGGAGAGGAAGCUUCACUACUCUACCCGGAGGUUCGCUGCACCAGGAUGGAGGACUACAUGAAACGUUAUUUGUAA
rnacentral:rRNA from 1 species